rnacentral:lncRNA from 1 species
AUGCACCCAGUCCAGGCUACAGAUGAUCAACAUCAAACAGGCCCUGGAAAACCUCCUUUUCCACACCAUAAUCCUGGCUAUGCAUUGAGAAGUUUUCCACUCUAUACAUUUUUAUCCAGAGGAGGGUAUUUUUAUAUUUUGACACUAGAAAACCAGGCUGAGUUUCCUGAGGAGUCCAUUCUGGGACAAAUGAACCCCUGUCUCAGCCUCCGCCGCCCCACCUUCACCCCCCCACCCCCGUUGCAACACACCCACUGGGAGACCACGUCUCUUUCUGCCUUGAAAUGCCACAUUGAGUCAAUGUACGACACAUACAGAGAUGCGGCUCAGCAGAAUUCACUGCGGCUUUGGCUCGAGUGCGAUGGGAUCGGGUGUGACCUUUGAACACAGAAAUCUGGUUGUGCGGAAGUCCAUAG